UACGAGUAUCAAAGUUUAGCUAUUUUGCCCUUGCCCUUAUUCUUUCUUCUAUUUCCAAAGUUAUUUUAGGCGCAUGUUUCCCUAUUCAUUUUCACUUUUCCUUCCAUUGGCAUCCCCUUUCCUUCUUUACAUGGCCGACGAUAGAGAAGAUCAAAAGGAGGGAUGAAAAUAUUUGAACGGUUGGAGAAGGGAUGUGGUGAUGGUAAUUUCGCUGCUAAUUCCGCUGUUUUUUAUUGUCGCUUCCUCUACAUUUCUUAAACGUGAUGGUAAUUUUCUCUCUUUAUCGUGAUUUAAUUUCUAGGGUUUCAUUUAAAAUCCCCAAAUUGUUUAAUUAUGCUCGUUUAUUGAUCAUAUGUAUAUUAAGAAUCUCAACUUCUGAAUUUUCUAUAGUUUCACGUUGAAUUGCUAAUGUUAGUGCUGAUUUUGGUAGUAAUUCGCUUUAUUAUUGAUUUUUGUAAGAUUUAGGGUUCUAGAUUUCAAAUUUCGUUGUUAAUGCUUUUGAAUUUCUAUUUUUGUGUGCUAUUUUGGUUUUAAUUUGUCUGAUUAUUGACAUAUGUUAGAUUUUAAGGUUUAGGUGUUGUGAGAGUUUGAAUAGUGUGAUGGUUUUGCAGAAUUGGAUUUUGAAGGAAGUCCAUCAAUGGUGAUUGUCGAAUUAACUCUUUAUCAUAUUACGAUUAGAGUAUAUAAAAAAGCAAACAUACUAUGCUAAUUGGACUCUAAUGUGUAAGUUUCUACAACAAGCGACACAAGCUAAUUGAAAUUCCUCCCUUAUUGGUGUAUGUUCUUUGCAACUCUAAAGGUACUGAUUUUCAUUACUUUGGAUGAUGUUGAAGUAGUGUAAUGUGGGAAAAUUGUAAUUUAUGUGAUAAUUUUUUUGUUUAUUUAUAAAUGCUUUUGGGGCUGUCAUAUUCAAAUUUAUUUUUUAGAUAUGAUUAAAUUUUCUGCAAUCUGAUUCUUUUCUAGGAGCAAAAUUGGAAAAUUGGGGAAUAUUAUUAUCUUGGUUACAAGUGGUGUGAAGUUGCAUAGUCUUUUUAGGUUUGAUUCGUGAUUAGAUGAUUAUUGGGAUGGUAUAAGAUUUUAUUAUUUUUUAAAUUAUGCUUUUCGGUUUCAGAGUUUAGUUUUUCUAAAAAGAGCUCCCUUUUUAAUAAAGCUUUAGUUCAUGAUCUGGCUGAAGUGGUUUCAUUUCAACCAUUGUGAUCUUUCUGCAGUGUUUUGUUUACGGAAUGGAUUGAGUUGAAGUCAAGUAAUAACCCUUCUUAUUCUGAUUCUUUCUAUUUAUUUGCAUUCAUAGUUAUCAAUUACUAUAUCUGUUCGCUGGUUGGCAGCAUCAAUGUGUUGAAACUGGAGUGUGUGUGAACUUAAAAAGUUUUGACUUUGUCAUUCAUUCUGAAAUUUGAAGUUGUGUAUAUAUGUUGAGUUUUAAUGAAAUUUGGUAGACAUAGAAUUAUUUAGUUUUUGAUGAUUAGUAUAUAUUGCUAAUUUUUAGUCUAUUUAUCAUUUUGGAAGUGAGUAAUAUAUUAUCAACUAUGUAGUUAUUUUUUUUAUUAGUUUAAUUAUGAAGUAAUCUAAUUGUGUCGGUGAUAGGUUUUUAUUGACACAACUCGAUAAGAAGCCCAAGGAUACCAUAAAGAGUGCUUUCCGAAUGAAGAUAAUCUAAGAUUUGUAAAACAAAAAAAAAUGAAAAGAGAAGAUUACUUGAUGUGAUCAACUUAAAUGUAAUUACAUCAGUUGUACUUAUAGUUUAGUUUAAAUAUAUCAUGUUUCUUGAAUUGAAAUUUUUGAUUUGUAUCAGGGUCAUGACAACCAAGUUUUUCACCAAAGUUUCAUUUGACUUGUCCCUUUUCGGAAGAAUAUCAGAAAAUUACUGUGAAUCGAGUGCUCAAAGCUGCUCGAACAUCGAGCUCUCUCAACUUAUCAAAUCACUCUUUGAGGUUGUCUAAUAUAUGAUGAUUUCUCACACAUUACAUAGGAUCAAAUGGAUCAAGAUGAAGGAUUAGAGUAGCAAGUAAUGAAGCCACAAGCCCAAAAGAACCAUGUGUGCACAUAUGUAGCUGCCAAUGCUUUGGGAGAUACAUAAUAUAUAUAAGACCAACUUAGAUAAACAUUUUUUUCCCGCGAUUGAAAAUUGGAGUCCUCCGGUAGUACUGUUGCUCGCUGUUGUCACUAUUACGUUGAAUGUUGCUGCUGUAACUGUUGUUACUGCUGUCUACUGCUAUUUGUUACUGCCAGCUCCUGACAGUUGCUGUUGUCUGGAGUCACUACUGCUCUAUGUUACUGUUAUUUUGCUAUUUUUGUUUUGGAAUUUGGUGGUCUAGUAAUCGAAGUUGAAUUUUUUUGUUAGGAUUAUUAGAUUGUUUAGCCAAAAAAAACAAAUGGUGUUUAUGAAUUUUUUUUUAAAGGAAAUAUGAUAUUAUAUCAAUUCAAAAUAUUGUUUAUCA